rnacentral:rRNA from 1 species
UACGUAGGGUGCGAGCGUUGUCCGGAAUUUAUUGGGCGUAAAGAGCUUGUAGGCGGUUUGUCGCGUCUGCUGUGAAAUCUCAAGGCUCAACCUUGAGCUUGCAGUGGGUACGGGCAGACUAGAGUGUGGUAGGGGAGACUGGAAUUCCCGGUGUAGUGGUGAAAUGCGUAGAGAUCGGGAGGAACACCUGUGGCGAAGGCGGCCCCUGGGCCGGCCCUGACGCUGAGACGCGAAAGCGCGGGGAGCGAACGGG